rnacentral:rRNA from 1 species
GUAGGGGGCUAGCGUUGUCCGGAAUNACUGGGCGUAAAGGGCUCGUAGGUGGUUUGUCGCGUCGUCUGUGAAAUUCCGGGGCUUAACUCCGGGCGUGCAGGCGAUACGGGCAAACUUGAGUACUGUAGGGGUAACUGGAAUUCCUGGUGUAGCGGUGAAAUGCGCAGAUAUCAGGAGGAACACCGAUGGCGAAGGCAGGUUACUGGGCAGUUACUGACGCUGAGGAGCGAAAGCAUGGGUAGCGAACAGGAUUAGAUACCCUGGUAGUCCAUGCCGUAAACGGUGGGCGCUAGGUGUGAGGGUCUUUUCACGACUUUCGUGCCGUAGCUAACGCAUUAANCGCCCCGCCUGGGGAGU